CUUGCUCCUUGGGUGGCGAGUGGCGGACGGGUGAGGAAUACAUCGGAAUCUGCCUAUUUGUGGGGGAUAACGUAGGGAAACUUACGCUAAUACCGCAUACGACCUACGGGUGAAAGCGGAGGACCUUCGGGCUUCGCGCAGAUAGAUGAGCCGAUGUCGGAUUAGCUAGUUGGCGGGGUAAAGGCCCACCAAGGCGACGAUCCGUAGCUGGUCUGAGAGGAUGAUCAGCCACACUGGAACUGAGACACGGUCCAGACUCCUACGGGAGGCAGCAGUGGGGAAUAUUGGACAAUGGGCGCAAGCCUGAUCCAGCCAUGCCGCGUGGGUGAAGAAGGCCUUCGGGUUGUAAAGCCCUUUUGUUGGGAAAGAAAAGCAGCCGGUUAAUACCCGGUUGUUCUGACGGUACCCAAAGAAUAAGCACCGGCUAACUUCGUGCCAGCAGCCGCGGUAAUACGAAGGGUGCAAGCGUUACUCGGAAUUACUGGGCGUAAAGCGUGCGUAGGUGGUUUGUUAAGUCUGAUGUGAAAGCCCUGGGCUCAACCUGGGAAUUGCAUUGGAUACUGGCAGGCUAGAGUGCGGUAGAGGGUAGUGGAAUUCCCGGUGUAGCAGUGAAAUGCGUAGAGAUCGGGAGGAACAUCCGUGGCGAAGGCGACUACCUGGACCAGCACUGACACUGAGGCAC
rnacentral:rRNA from 1 species